rnacentral:RNase_P_RNA from 17 species
CGAAGUAGACCAGAUGGCCGCCGCCCGCAAGGGGGGAGGAAAGUCCGGGCUCCAUAGGGCAUGGCGCUGGAUAACAUCCAGCGGGGGUGACCCCAGGGAAAGUGCCACAGAGAGAAGUCCGCCUGCCGGAGCUUUGCGAAGGCAGGUAAGGGUGAAAGGGUGAGGUAAGAGCUCACCGGGUCCGGCGGUGACGUCGGAUGCCAGGUAAACCCCGCCAGGAGCAAGACCAAAUAGGGAAGCGUUAAGGACGGCCCGUCCGUGCUUCCGGGUUGGUUGCUUGAGGCCGUCGGUAACGACGGUCCUAGAUGAAUGGCCAUCGCCCGCGGUCGGGAAACUUGCAGCGGGAACAGGACCCGGCUUAUGGGCUGCUUCGGCCA